GAUGAACGCUGGCGGCGUGCCUAAUACAUGCAAGUCGAGCGAACGGACGAGAAUCUUGCUUCUCUGUUGUUUUCGGCGGACGGGGGAGUAACACGUGGAUAACCUAUCUAUAUGACUGUGAUAACUUCUGGAAACCGGAGCUAUUACCGGAUAAUAUUUUUAACCUCAUGUUUCAAAAGUGUAAGACGGUCUUGUUCUCACUUAUAUAUGUAUCCGCGCUGCAUUAGCUAGUUGGUAAGGUAACGGCUUACCAAGGCAACGAUGCAUAGCCGACCUGAGAGGGUGAUCGGCCACACUGGAACUGAGACACGGUCCAGACUCCUACGGGAGGCAGCAGUAGGGAAUCUUCCGCAAUGGGCGAAAGCCUGACGGAGCAACGCCGCGUGAGUGAAGAAGGUCUUCGGAUCGUAAAACUCUGUUAUUAGGGAAGAACAUAUGUGUAAGUAACUGAGCACAUCUUGACGGUACCUAAUCAGAAAGCCACGGCUAACUACGUG
rnacentral:rRNA from 1 species